rnacentral:lncRNA from 1 species
ACUCUGCAUAUAUAGAUCAUAGAAACUGAUUGGAAAAGAAUACAAAAACUUAUUCUGCCUAGUUUCUCAUGCAUUAGUUCCAGUAGGCACGAUCUCAAAGUCUAAAGUCAUAUUUUCAUAUUAAUUUAUGACAAUAAAACUUUAUCCGAAAGUAGAGAGAAACAAAUAAAAUCUUCAAAUAUAUUCAUGUUUCAAAUAUCCCUAAUCCCACCACAAAAGCGAAAAAGAACGUAUAAAAUUACCAUUUUGCCGUCGUCAACGAGGACAGGGUUUUCGCAGAGAGUGAGGUAAAGCUUCUUCUUGGAGGAGGAGAAGGUGGAGGAGGAGGAGGAGUGAGAUAGGAUCAGUGGCGGAUCUACAGAGGGACCUGGGAGGUCCCAGAACCCUUCGGCGACCCUAAAUCGCUGCUAGAAAAUUUUCGGGGACCCCUCGUACUCGAACACAAGGUCUGUGCAAUGUGUUUUGUAAUUUCUGGGUUGGUAGGUUCUGUUCUUGCGAGAGGAAGAAGAUGAUUAAAUGAGUUUCUCUCUCAUCCUUUCAUUCCCACGUGACCACCCUCAAACUUUCCCAUUUUAUUGAUUUUUUAAUUGGUCCAAUCACAUUCCGAUAGCUAGCAUCAACUUGAUCUUUCCAAAAUAUGAAAAUGGGUUGUCGGUCCCUAGGUGUAUAUUUUUGUUAAUUGGUGUGGCUCCCCUCCUUACGCGUCUAGUGCUUCAUUUUGCUUUCUACACCCACAUAUUUAACACACUUAUAUUUAUCUUAAAAUUCAAUAUAAAUCAAUAUGAUCUUUAAAAAUAUUAUGUAAAUUACUAUGAACUUGUAAUUAUUUGAACUUUUAUCUUAUACCUUAAAUUCACCAAAAUACUAGGUAUAUAAUAAAUUUAUUUAAAUUCACUUAGACCGCGCACGGAGAAGAAAGAAAAUAGGACCCUUUUUAACAAUUGGUAUAUUUUUUCUAUUUUUUUUUUGUUAAAUGUGUAGUUUAGAAAUAAAAAAAUGUGGAGAGAUUUUUCAAGUCAAAGCUGAUAGCACCAUCUAUUUGGUCAUUGAGAAAGAUGGUUGAGUGAUGUUUUUUCAUGUAUUGGUAAUGAAGCUAUCAUAGAAUAUUUUCAGACUAUGAAACCCCGUCGUGGACGCUCAAAUUAGGAUUUUAUAGCUUGUAAUGUUGUUUUGCGUAUGAUUUUUGAAUGAAAUGUAUUAUAUUUAACUUUUCAAUGUUAAUUUUGUCUAUAAAUGUUUUUACCUUUAUUAAUGGGACCCCCCAAACUUAAAAUCCUGGAUCCGCCACUGCCCGUGGGUAUCCCUCUUCAUGGCCCUUCCUUGCUUUGUUCAGCCAUGGUUUCUGUUGAGUUCGUGUGUAGAGUUCUGGUGUUAUAUCUGGCUCAGGUGUCUCCCACACCACCACGAUCUCCUUGUUGUCUGCCGUUCUCGGCGGUGUUGUUCGGGAUUUUCCCGGAGCUUCUUUCUGAUGGUUGGCUUCUCUCUCGCCGACUAUCUCUUGUUAAUGGUUAUGUGCAGGUGGCGCCUGUGGAGGUGAUGAUCAGCGGUGGAUGGAGGAUUGGAUGGCUGGCUGAUUCUCGGGUCGAUGGUGGAGAGCACAGUGGAUGGUUCUCGGUUGUUUGUUUGGGCUUCACUGUUGUUGGGCUCAUUUUCUUUGUUUUCUUUGUUUUUAGGCCCGUUCUUUAUUUGUUUGUAGGAAUAAUUGGACCUUUGUGUGGUUUGUAAGUGUGUGUUUGUUUUAAUAAAAGUUCCUCGCAACUUAAAAAAAAAAAAAAAAAACAGAAUCUUAAUUAGAAUAUGGAUGAAAAUUAUUAACAGACCUGGAUUCAGGCAGACGAAUCCAUUCCCAAUAUUGAGGAGUAUCGCCCCAAGUAAUCUUAAGCUUCCUUGCAGAUAUCAUAUAGCCCUUUUUCCCACUCCAUUUGUCCACUGAAAAGCUCUGCAAUUAAUAUUGAAUAUGCAUGACAUCAAUUAUAAUUAAAUACAUGAAUAAAAAUUAAUCACAAUAAGUUAAUAACAAAAACGAAGGCAUAUAGUUAAUAUGACGUUACCAUCUUCCCCUAAUCGAUGAGGACCGGGUUGUCACAUAGAGAGAGAGAGAAAAAGCUCCUUCUUGGAUUUCCAACUGGAAGAAGAAGAAGAGCAAGUCGGGACUGGGAGGGAGGAGGGAGACUGAGGUUGUACGGAGCACUUGCCGAGGAUCGUGUAGACAUCAGGCGGAAGGAACCUGUCCCAAACGGCGUCCAAAUCAGCGGCCGACCGGAAACCCCUAGACACCGCUGAAAGCCUGCACGCGUCAGGAGGCGUCGUUAAGGAGGCCACGGUGGCUUUGCAUCCUUCUGGCAACGCCACCAGAUCCAUCGCCGGCGUUCCUGUAGUUUGUCUUUGUAUAUUGUAUUGCGUUUUGGUGUUUGUAAACUUGUGUAAUAUUGUUUGGGCACAAAUUUACACCAUCAAAGUGAGCAUAACUUUCAACUGUUGGAUAGAAAAGUAAAGAUAGUUUUGUUGUUGUUAAAAGAUAAUAUUAUGGUUUUUAUCAUAAUAAUUAUCUUUUAACUAUCUUGACAAAUGCGAAUUAUAUCUCUAAGCAAGGGGUACAGUUCAAAUUAAGUUGGGAUGUGUGUGGACGUGUGGAGUAGUCAAAGUAAAGUGAUGUGAUGGGAUCAAGGUGCCAGCCAUGAUUUUUUAUGCAUGCAUGUGAUGAUUUCAUUAAAUGCCGUGCAAAAGUUGGAAAUGGUUUGGAUGGAUAAAGAUGGCAUGAAAAAGGGUUUAUUUUGAUGGUCUCGACGUGGAAAGCAAAUGACCACCAAAUGGCAUGUAUCCUUGGAUUUUGGCAGGUUUUUUACCGAGUCUUGUGGAAGUGAAUGGCUAGGCUUGCAUGUUAAUUAUCAGCAUGCUUUGGUUCCAGAGCCGUGGAGGUCAUUAUGCAUGUUAAUUAUUUGCAUAAAAUAAGGAGAUAAUGAUAACAUCUAAAAGAAAGGCUGUUGCUUACCUUGAGAAGUGUUUGACUGGGACUCUGGUUGAUGAGUGUGAAUUGAAAUCAAAUCCUACACUAGUGUGAAGCCGCACCACACAUUUGCGUCUAUAAAUACAAGGUUGCGAACACCAUUGAAGCCCCUCUAAUUCAACACACAAUUGCCCUGUGCAAACUUUCUCAACAACCUUGAGAUUUUUACUUUUUCCUUUUCGCCGACACAUCUUUCGUUGGUAUCAAUAGCACUGUGAAGGCAACCAGUGAUAUCCUCAGUCGACAUAAGAUAGCUCUGUCACCGUAGAAUCAGCUAAUCUCGCAGCAUCUUCCGUUGGUAUCAACAGCACUGCGGCGAGGACAGUUGGUUACCUAUCCAAGUCUCGGUCGAGAAGGAUUUCCGAAUCCUUGUUGGUCGAGGUCAUCUCAUUAGCCUUCUCAGCGAAGUGAGGUGUUACAGUUUACCGAGCUCGGCGCAUUGCACGCCGAGUUAUUUUAUGAUUGGAUACUCUCAAGUGGGAUUUAGAGUUCGGCAUUCUGACAGUCGAACCACGUUCACCAUUAAGACUUAUAUCCACUUUGAGUAUUUGUGCCCUUACACUUUGGUGUCGAUUCGGCGUGGGUUUACUCUGACAAAUACCAUCACUGUGACCGAGUUCGACGACGACGAUUCGUGAACUUCAUGAGAAUAGCAACCUUGUCUUCAGGCUGCAUAAGUCAGUAGCGCGACCCAAUGCAACAUUAGCAAAUUUUACUUCUCGGCCGAGCUCGGCCGACGAGUUGGCACGCCCCGCACACAACCGAAUGACGUAGUUAGCUCAUAGAUUACUCGGCCUGCGCGCCACGUACGUAGGCUUGGUAGUUUUUAGGGUCAACAAAUAUAUGCAUGGAUUUCCUAGAUGAAGUCUUAGGGGUUAAGUUUAGGGUUGUUUUAUAACGCAUCAAGGUAUAUGGUAUGCACCAGGUUUAUAGAAACGUUAAAUUCGUUGGGUUCUUGGACCAAAUACAAAAAGAAAAGAUCUUGACCUAUUCUCUGGGGAUGCAUAAAAAUAUAGAAUGGUUUUAAAUUUUGAGUAUCAGCCUAAUUAUUUCUCUUAGAUUAGUAAUACAUUAUUCAGCCUAUAUUCAAUGCACAUAUAAAAGGUUAUUUUUUCGAAAGACCUAUUUGUCGAUUUAUCCUCCGAACUUGUAUACACCUACCAAUUUCCCUUAUGAAUUUUAAUUUAGCUGAUUAUACCUGAACUUUUAUAAAUAGAUUUUGAAAAUUUUCAACUAAUCUUCCAUUCAUCUUGAUCACGCGAACAUCACAUGGCAAAUAUAUGAUGGGGAAAGGAUAAUUUUGUUUUGGUAAAUUGGGCACAAAGUUAGUACUUUGCCGUUGCAAAUUAGAUUCCUAUGGCUAAUUCAAACAUAAAGUAUACGGAGUCAACUAGCAAAAGAGAACAUUAGGGUAAUAUUACUUGAUUACCCUUAAACAUUUUUCAUCAGACUAAAAUGGGUAGGAAAUUGAAUGAAUUUUUUAAAAUCUAAUGUCAGAAAGGAAAUUGACUAAUUAUAAAAGUUUAGAAGGGUAAUCAACUAAAAUUAAAAUUUAGAGAGAAAAUUAGCAACUGCUUAAAGUUCUAGGAGAAAAUCGACAGAUAACUCUUUUCAAAAAAAGAGAAAAGGUUAUUGGGUUUCCUUUUUCCUUUUCAUUUCAAAUUUUUUACUUUAAUAAAUCAUCAGUACUAUCUAGUAUCUAGUAUAUAUUCUUUUAAGUUAGAAAUCUCAAAUUCAACUUAUCUUGUUAACAAAUUUAAUGUAAUAACACCGACGGUGAUAGACCCACGUUAGGAUAAAAAGUGGCCAUUCCCUCCCCUCCAAGGGCCCAUGCAAUAUUUCUAGCCAAAUACCUCCAUUACCCACCACCCCCCACAAAAAAGGGAAAGAAAAAAGAAGAAAAGAAAUCAGUCUAAUUGGUUCCAAAUCGAGCACUUAAACUCGGUUUGAUUUGCGACGCCACGCCAGAUGACCUUGUGCACCAUGAACUUGGCCUAGAAGAGAAUGCACGUAUUCUUAGGUGAAAAAACUAUACGUGUGAUAACACAUCUCCCAAUCUCUCCAUUCAUCAAAUAAGUUUAUAACGUUUUACAACAAGUAUUCAAAGGUGAAGGGAAUCAUUAAAUAAUUAUUCAAGAGGACUGUAAUCACCGUUGAUGAUCAGGGUUCAACCCAUGUCAAAGUUAAAGAAUCAAAAGGGUGCGGUUGUCGCGGUGUGACCAGAGAAAUUGGUGUCCGGUAAGAGACAGAGAAGCAAGACUACACUUUGGCAAUCAAGUACAAGAGCUCCGAGGAAGAAGCCAUCUCAUUUGGUGCAAUUGUUUGGGAAGAAGAGAGUGAAAAUUUUACUAUGAGGAGCCCUAUUGUGAUCUCGGGUAGCCCUAUUGUGAUCGUUGUGUAAGAACACGUUAGCUGGCAUUUCGGGAAGUUUGGUACGACUUCAAUUCAAUCCAUGUAGUUCAAAGAUGAGCAAUUGCAACCAUUUUAUCAACAAAAUUAUAAUACAAUGAGCCUUUUUGUUUCUCUUACUAGUAAUUUUCCUAAUAUGUAACAUCGACAAUGCACCUAUUACAUGUAAGUCCUUAGAAAAAGUUCAACUUUCUACACUCUUUUGGGCCUGACUUCAAUCCCUUGAACAAUAAGGCCUCUCUUCAUUCUAUGAAUGUCAAAAUCCCUACAUGUCAUCUCCAUUAACCCCCCAUUUUCUUCUCCUGGACAGAAGAACUCUCCAAUCUCCACCUCCAGCCAGCCGUCAGGCCUUUUCUUUCGGCUCCUUUCUUGGCCCAGAAACACAGUGCGCUUACUACUAGUCUCUUCUUUCCCAAAAAGUCCUAUCUUGACCUCCGAGGGAUCGUCACGAUCAAAUCCUCUAGCCCUUUCACUUAACAUGAACACAAGAUAAGCUUUGUAGACAGUGGAGGGGGAAAGAAUCCGUGUAUCAAUUUUGCCACGGAUGUCAAGCCACCAAACAACUACAAGCGCAGCCACCUCCUCAAACCUGUUUCAUUUAACAUGACACAUACUAAUUAAUUGCCUAAUUACACACAUACACACAUAUUUCAAUCUAUAUAUAUACAUCGCUAAAACAAAUCCAACCGCAGAAUAAGCACGAUAUGGAAAUGCAUUCUCAACAUCUUAAAAGCGUAGCUGUUAGCUUAAUCAAACCAACAAAACGUAAGAUGAAUGAAGAAGUUUACAGACCUGGAGUUGGCAAGAGAAAUCCAUUUCCAGUACUCAGGAUUAUCACCCCAAAUAAUAAUAAGGUCCUUCGGCGAUAUCAUGUAACAUUUUUUCCCACUCCAUUUGUCCAGAGUAAAACUCUGCAUAUAUAGAACAUGGAAACUGAUUGAGAAAGGUUACAAAAACUUAUUCUGGCUAGUUUUUCAUGCAUUAGUUCCAGCAGGCACCAUCUCAAAGUCGAAAGUCAUAUUUUCAUAUUAAUAUAUGAUGCUGUAUUCAAUUGAGAAUUUGAGAGACUUUAAAUUGAUUUUUAUAGAGUUUAAUUGAUUUAUAGAGAUUUCAUAGAAAAUUUUGAUUCAAUUUCCUCGAAAUCUCAUGGAGAGAGAUUAGAUUUGUGGAUGCUUAUAAUAUACUACAAAAUCUCUCCAAUUCCCUUUAAUUCCUCAAAUUUCUCAAAUUAUUUAAUAUCAAUUUCUAAUUGAAUACAAUGUUAUAAACUUUUUUAAAAUCAUAAUUGAAUACACUCAGAUUUAUAAAGAUUUUAAUAAAUUAUCUUAAAAUUCUAAUUGAAUACCCUUGAAUUAAAAUACUGAUUGAUUACCUAGAUUCAUUAAAAGAAUUAAAAUCCCUCAAACUCUGAAUUGAAUACACGCCCCAAAACUUUAUCAGAAAGUAGAGAGAAACAAAUAAAAUCUUCAAAUAUAUUCAUGUUUCAAAUUUUGGGAGCUAUCCCUAAUCCCACCACAAAAGCGAAAAAGAAUGUAUAAAAUUACCAUUUUUCCGUCGUCAACGAGGACAGGGUUUUCGCAGAGAGUGAGGUAAAGCUUCUUCUUGGAGGAGGAGAAGGUGGAGGAGGAGGAGGAGGAGUGAGAUAGGAUGGAGGGGAUAUCAGGGGGAAGGAACUUGUCCCAAACAGCGUCGGAAUCAGCAGCCGACAUGAAACUCUUAGACACCGCCGAAAACCUGCACGCGUCUCGAGGCGUCGUUAAGGAGACGACGUUAGCUAUGCAUCCUUCGGGCAACUCUUGCAGAUCCAUGUGAACGUGAUGGUGAUCGUCAUCGAGUACCAUCGACACCGGCGUCCCGCAGCCCCCGCUGGUGAUUCCUUCUCCUCCUUCUCCUCCUGAUACACCGGCGUCGACUGUCUUCUUUUGCAUCUCUAGGUGAUCUCCGCCGCGGCAGAUUCUCUUCAUGUCUUCCGUCUGUCUGUCGUUGACUCUUGUGUCAUGUGUGUACUUUGUGGUACGUGUUCUGUUGUGUGCAAGAAACUUGUCAUAUUUGUAGGGACUAGUGAGGGAGGCCUUGGGCGUUAAGGCAUGGUUCAAUUUUUCCUCGAGUAGUUUUACUUCGUUUUCUAAUGUUGACAAACGCUACACUCUAGAAAACUAUUUAAAAUUUUUAUUUCUCUGUCACUUUCGACACGCUAAGCUUCUUAGAUUUAAAUUAGAAUAUUUCAAGGCAUAUGAGAAUUUACCGAAGAGGAAGAAAAACAAUCAUGCAUAUGAACUAUGGUGUGUGCAGUGGCGAAGCCAGAAUUUAUUGGAGGGAGGGGCGAACUUUCGGCAAUUUGUAAACCCAAUCUCAAUGAAGACAUCACUUCCGGCAUUUCCCUCUUCAUCAAAAUCACACUUGAAUAGAUAGCAAUAACGGCAAAAUGCGGUAUCUUUUACUAUACUAUACUCCAACCACUUAAAAUUAUCAAACCAACGGGUGACAAAACAUCGAUUAUUGCUAACUUUUCUGGGCAUGAUGUGAUCUUUAGGUUGACCAGGAUUGUUUUGGAGAUAAUGUCGGCGAAUUGUUUCACGAUAAUUAGGUGGAUAAUCAAGCAUUCAAUGUCUAUGUCCAGGGUUUACAUGAAGAUUAGACAGUAUUUCAUCCAACUCAGUGACCUAACUUUGUUGGGAACUACCCGGAAUACUCGAAGAAGAAAUAUUUGGAAUAUUCGAAGGAGGACUACUCGGAAUAUUCGAAGAAGGACUAGCCGGAAUAUUUGAAGGAGGAUUUAAGCUGUUUCUUAUAGUAUCGUUCCAUUGUUUAACUGUAUAUGAAAAAGAAAAGAAAAAAGUCUUAGACUCUUAAUUCUAGAGUAAGCUAUACUAUAGUCAAUAUGAGUACUAACUAAUUAAACCAGCAAUUCAAUUAAUCAAUACCAAUAUUCAUAUAAAUUAUUUAAUACACAAACAUUCAAUUAAUAGAUUAAUAUCAAUAAUCAAGAAUUCAAUUUUUACUCUAGACAAUAAUUUCAUUCAUCAAUAAUCAUUCAUAGGAUUCAUAUUUAUUUGCAAAAAUCAAUAAUCAAUAACUAUAUUAGUGUAUUACUCUAUGAUUCUAUAUUAAUUAACUAAAAUUUUGUAUUAAUUAAUCAAUUAGGGUUAGAGAUAAUAUAAAUUAGAAAGUUAAAAAAUUUACCUAAAAUUGAGAGAGAAGUGGAAAACCAACCCAUUAGGUUGGCUGCUGUGCUGAAGGUUUUCAAACAGUGGGGUGGUUUUCAAAAAGUGAAGGUCUACUUUGAAAAAUGGAAGGCACGGGGACAGUGGUCCCCUUUAAAAUUUUCUAUUUUUUUAAGCAAUUAACGAAACGGUGUCGUUUGUUUAAGGAUUUUUCUUUUUUUUUUAAAUACUAAAUGAAACGGCAUGAGGGAUUUAAAAAAAAAUUACAUAAGUUGCUGCUGUGCAGCAGCAGAAACCCAGAAACCGAUCCGCAGAUUACAGUGUAGCCAUUCAUUCCGACGAGACCAGAGGGGUGAAACCACGUUCAUGGGCUUAAUUUCCGGCAAGGGGAGGGGCGGCCGCCCUUCCCAGUCCCUCUGUAGCUUCGCAUGUGGGUGUGUGGUCAAUUCAUACUCUCUUUAACAACUAACUAACACUAUUUGUAUUUCAAAAAAAUUGGCCACCAAAUUGCUAUAUUACUGUUGACCCUAAAAACUAACAAGCCUACGUGGCGCGCAGGCCGAGUAAUCUAUGAGCUAACUACGUCAUUUGGUUGUGUGCGGGGCGUGCCAACUCGUCGGCCGAGCUCGGCUGAGGAGUAAAAUUUGAUGAUGUUGAGUUGGGUCGCGCUACUGACUUCUGCGUCUUGCAAUUGCGGCCGAGAAAGGAACAUGUGUCAGCCUCUUGGGUUCUUGAGCCUGAAGACAAGGCUGCUAUUCUUAUGAAGUUCACGGAUCGUCGUCGUCGGACUCGUUCACAUUGAUGGUAUUCGUCAGAGUAAACUCACGCCGAAUCGACACCAAAGUGUAAGGGCACAAAUACUCAAAGCGGAUAUAAGUCUUAAUGGUGAACGUGGUUCGGCCGUCGGAAUGCCGAACUCUAAAUCCCACUUGAGAAUAUCCAAUCAUAAAAUAACUCGGCGUGCAAUGCGCCGAGCUCGGUAAAUUGUAACACCUCACUUCGCCGAGAAGGCUAAUGAGAUGACUUCGACUAACAAGGAUUCGGAAAUCCUUCUCGACUGAGACUUGGAUACGUAACCAACUGUCCUCGUCGCAGUGCUAUUGAUACCAACGGAAGAUGCUGUGAGAACGACUGAUUCUACGGUGACAGAGCUAUCUUAUGCCGACUGAGGAUAUCACUGGUUGCCUUCACAGUGUUAUUGAUACCAACGAAAAAUGUGUCGGCGAAAAAGGAAAAGUAAAAAUCUCAAGGUUGUUGAGAGAGUUUGCGCAGGACAAUUGUGUGUUGAAUUGAAGGGGGUUUUAAUGGUGUUCGCAACCUUGUAUUUAUAGAUGCAGAUGUGUGGUGCGGCUUCACACUAGUGUAGGAUUUGAUUUCAAUUCACAUUCAUCAGCCAGGGUCCCAGUCAAACACUUCUCAAGGUAAGCAGCAGCCUAUCUUUUAGAUGUCAUCAUUAUCUUCUUAUUUUAUGCGAAUAAUUAACAUGUAUAAUGACCUCCACGGCUCUGGAACCAAAGCAUGCUGAUAAUUAACAUGCAAGCCCAGCCAUUCACUUCCACAAGACUCGGUAAAAAACCCGCCAAAAUCCAAGGAUACAUGCCAUUUGGUGGUCAUUUGCUUUCCACGUGGAGACCAUCAAAAUAAACCCUUUUUCAUGCCAUCUUCAUCCAUCCAAACCAUUUCCAACUUUUGCAUGGCAUUUAAUGAAAUUAUCACAUGCAUGCAUAAAAAAUCAUGGCUAGCACCCUGAUCCCAUCACAUCACUUUACUUUGACUACUCCACACGUCCACACACAUCCCAACUUAAUUUGAACUGUACCCCUUGCUUAGAGAUAUAAUUCGCAUCUGUCAAGAUAAUUAAAAGAUAAUUAUUAUGAUAAAAACCAUAAUAUUAUCUUUUAACAACAAAACUAUCUUCAAUUUUCCAUCCAACGUUUGAGAGCUAUGUUCACUCAACGGCCUUGAUUGCACAGGCCGAUGGUGUAAAUUAGGGCCCAAACAAUUACCCACACAAAUUAUUUUUUGGAAUUUAAUAUUUAACUUUAUUUUUCUUUCUCAAUAAAAUAAAAAGAUCGGUUGCAAAUAACUUUCACCACAACGUAAGAUUUUUAAAAUUAGUUUAGAAAUAUUGUUACUUUUUUUGUACAAACGAUAUUAAAGGAGAAGAUGGAGCAUCACGCUCAAGAGUGGAUACUCUCCAUUGACUUUUUUUUUGUUUUUUUUUUGUUUUGGGGGAUGAUCGAACUUUUAAUAUUGGGCCUAAAAGUAAAUUCAUUAAAGCCCAAAGAUAGCAAAGAUUAGCAAGCCCAAUAACAAGAAAAGCCCAACACAAAGAAUAACAAGCUUUAGCUGGUAGAUACUAAUGGUACAGGAAAAACAAGCUCUUAUCCUUUUACCAUUUAAGAACGGCAUUCAUGCAAAUAACUCAAGUAUUGAUACAAUCAGAUGUGAUUCCGGCAACGGAAGUUGAGAAUUCAAAAGCCGAUACUGCUCGUUGUCCCCUCACUAAGCAAAAAAAAAUAAAAAAUCAAUCGUCGUCAUCCUUUAACUCAAAAAUUACAAAAAAACAUUGAUUUGAGUCCUAGUAAAUACAAAUGGUAAUUCGAGCGUGACCGCAACAGAACAAACAUUCUGGCUUCGACAACCUUCUUCUCGCAAUAUUUGGAUCUGAUACACUGACUUUGUACAUCUCAGAAAAAAUGCAAAACCUGAAAAUUAAAGACUUCUGGUAAGCUAAAAGAAAAAAUAGACGGUGCAUGAGUGUUUAGAAAGAGAGAGCACUGAAGUUUGGACGAAAGUAAUUUAUGCGGCACGAACAUGACACGAUAAAUAGAGAAUAUGGACCGAAAGUUACUUCAAUGAAAUUGUACAAGGAAAAUGCAUAGACCACCGAAAUUGGUUCUGACAUCCAAAAAUUUUGAUUAGCCAUCUCCAAAGAAGCAACCGAUUCACUACUUUACAACAACAUUAACCAGCUUCAGAGCCAAAUCUCUGCACCAAGAAUUCAUCUAGCUGACCCCAUUUUGGAAUACUAGAUUCGCUCAUUUUAUCAGACGGCAAAGCUCGAAUGCAUCCAAGAAUGUGUGUGACAUCCCGGCGCAGCCUGGUGGACAAAGUGAAAAGUUAUGUUUAUUAAGGAGUCCUAACAAUUGUAUGCGCACAAGAGGGAAGGGAACUGAAAAGGUAGUACCUGUCCUUGGCUUGUGGUGUGCACAUCUGUAACCGUGAAAAUGCCUCUGAUAUUUGUGAAUGGAAGACCAAAAUCACUUGCCUGAAAAUUACAAACCACAGUAAUCAUUAACUGCCCCUUUCAUCAACCAAAUCACACUGAUUAAAAAUGUGGAGGGAAGAAGCAAGAACGUCAAGCUAACAAAUGGAAUUGGAUGAUCCCUUGAGUCUUUGACCAAGUUCCCAAGAAAAUUUCAAGUUAUAUGAACCUUACCUGAAAAUCGCUUGAACAUCGAUUAUUGAAAGUUUAGGGUUGUUUUAUAAAUACUCUGCUAUAAUAUCAUCUAUUAUUGAAAGUUACUAAAUACUCUGCAACAAUAUAUCAUCUAGAUGAAGUCUUAGGGGUCAAGUUUAGGGUUGUUUUAUAACGCAUCAAGGUAUAUGGUAUGCACCAGGUUUAUAGAAACGUUAAAUUCGUAGGAUUCUUGAUCAAAUACAAAUAGAAAAGAUCUUGACCUAGUCUCUGGGGAUGCAUAAAAUUAUAGAAUGGUUUUAAAUUUUGAGUAUCAGCCUAAUUAAUAAGAAUGGAUUUUGUUUCUCUUAGAAUUAACUAGAAAAUAAGCCUGCGCGUUGCGGCGGGAACCACUGUUUCAGGCAUAACUAUAUGAAUAAGACACAUUUGACCUGAAUAAAUUCAACACAAUCAUCAAUGAACAAAGGGACACAUGAGUGAAUGAGGUCGAUAAGAUAAGCAGCUUGGCUUUUACAUGCAUUCAACUGAACAUUGCACAAUUAGGAGCUCGGCUUUGAGAGGUGGGAAGGAACAAUCAUGUGGAAUUUACAGUUUAUAUGGUGAGACUCGCAUAAUCCACUCGAUCAAUGUCGUUCCUAUACAUUCUUCAUAAAUUAUAUGAAAAUUAUGGGGAAAAGAAAUUACAUGCAUACAUGAAAUAAAAUUGUAUCACAAUAGAAUUAUAUUAUGAACAAAAUAAGGAUAGAUUGUGUUUACCUAGUGUUUUUCUGCUGGGAAAGAAGUCUGGUUUUGCAUUAGUUGGAAAGGACCUUUUUUCUGGCAAUUUUAUAGGAUGUCAUCAAUUUUUUGCGCGUUUGUCUCUGUGAAAUGCACAUUAGAUAAGAGUUUGAUUAAACACAUGAAAAAAAUAUUGUUUAGUAUGGUGUAAACACAAAAUUACACGUGUAUCAGUUGGGAUAGCAAAAGCUUUACAAAUGAGAUUGCAAUUGAAGGUUAAACCCCUCAAUCGUCGUAUGCAUUCACAGAAUGUAAACUGAUUAGUAUGUUUAAGCAGUGAUGAUGAUACUUUUGGUCUAGCAUAGUUAGCAAUAUGUGUAGUACAUGUAUUACCCUAAUUGUAUCUUAAUUAUUAAUCAUUAUAAGACUAAAAUCUCUCCUGAAGCUUGUAAAGAAGCUUUGAGUUUAAAUUCAUUUUCCUACUUUGAACAAAACUUUACCCAGAUACCUCAAAUAAUUGGAAUCAUACAAAAACCAAGCAUCCUAGUAGCUAGCUAGUACAUGAAAUCGUGGUUUCACUGAUUAUAUUAAAAAUAUUAAGAAACUUCUUAGAUACGAAAAAACACAAAUAAAGUUUGAAAAAUCACUUACUGAAUGCCCAAGAUAGAGAUCCUUAUUUCCAGCAACCUUUCCAAUCCUAGCUAGCCAUCUUCCAUGUUGAUGACGUCUGCUACACAGAGAAGAAACAAAACAAAGAGACUUUAGAGAUUUUUAAUUGGUAUAUAUAUUAUUUCUCAUCGAUAUUUUAUCUAAAUUAUUAUAUAAAAUUAUGAAUAGCUAAUAAGACCUUGUAAUUCUUCUGUACAUUGAAGCCCCUCUUGAGAAUCCACUGCUUUUCCUGUAAAGACCACAUUAUGUUAGUAAUCGAUUAGCAUUUAAACGCUGUUGUAUAUAUAAAUCUACCGAAUGCAUGCUUAGUAGCAUGAACUAAAACAACAUGGUUUGACAGUUAAAAUGGUCAGCCAAAUUAUAUGUGAAAAAAUGCUUACCCAAGUAAACUGAAGAUUCAUCAUUUGAUUGUAAUUCCCCAGCUAAUCAAAGAAAAACCAAAAAAUAAAAAAUAAAAUCAGCAUAUAGUAUGGAAAAUAGUCAGAACAAAAGCAGAAUUUGACUGGAAAAUAGAAAUCUGCCUCUUUAGAAUAUCUUUAAACGAAGAACGUGCAACAAACCUACUUACUUUUAAUUUCAAACACACACUGAGAUUUAAAAGAUAUCGAAUAGAAGAUAUUAUUAAGAUGGAAAACGUAUUCCAUAAUGCAUGGGGAAACCGUAAAUGUAACAAAAACUGUCAUGGUGGAAUGGAGUAAAUAUGUGAAAGUGCAACAAAGGGUACGUCUCAGAAGGGUUUAACUGAUGACCAGUCAUUUAUACUUGAUAAUGUUCUGAAUUGUCAGCUGGACAAAGCUGUUAAAAUGUGUUUUGGAAUAAGUCCUCUCACAGCAUGUUUAUCUAUGCUAUUAUUUUUUUAACUUCCUUUUAUUCAGAAUUAUGUUUCAGUGUACUUUUGAUGGCAUGAAGAUUUUUGACAGCACACCAACUUAAGACGUAACAAUCAAAGAUAGCUAGAUUUAAUAGAUUUAAUAUAUUCUGGCAUGAAGAUUCCUGUUAUUGUGGUUGUAUAUAUUCAAAGGACGUUAUAAUUAGAUAGCUAGAUUUAAUCCCAAUGGGCAAAAAAAAUACAUGUAAGAACAGGUAUGAAACCAGUGUUAAUUAAUAUACCUCAAAAGUCAAAGGGCCAGUCUGAGAUUUCAAACAUGGAGAUUUACUUCAUUUUAAAAAACUGCUAAAUACAUUGGGAACUGUUAAAAACAUGAACUACAAAUCUGUAAAAAAAAAAGGCUUCCAGAUAAGUUUAAACUAUCAACUCUCAAGUUAGCAUUGUUACUGUUUUUGAGUUGGAUGUUGGCUUCCUAACAUGGUAUUAAAAGGGAUUUAUAAGUAUGUGCAUUGUUAAAUCACCCAACACCAUGUGUUAACCAAGUAAUUUAUAGCUAAAGAGCAAGAUAUGCCACACAAAACCUGUAUUUAGAUGCCAAUCACUAAAAGCUAAUAAAAAUUCCUAAUCUAACCAUCACUAUACUAACAGUUUGGAGAAGGAUCAGAACUUCUUGUCCAAAUUUGUGUUCAUUUUAUUUCAAUUGUCCAUCAGAGCUUAAGAAGAAUGAUUAAAUAAAGACAAUGGCAUGCCAAAGAAAAAAUACCCGCCUUUUAAACUUCAGUAAUGCAUAGUCUUGUUGUGGUUUUUGUUUUUUCUAAAGACCAGACUAAGAGAAUGGUCAACACCAACAUCCUAUGUGUUCAGAUAAUCGCGAAGACUAAAAUAUAAGCUCACAAAUAUAAUCCUAACACGAUCAGAUCAUUGCCAACAAAAAAUAUCCAUUAUUAAAAACAUAAGUGCAUUGAGAAGGUGUAAAAAAGAGUAAUGACCAUAAAACUAAUGAUUUCAUUCAUCAGUCACAUAGAGACAAAUUUGUUUGUGGGCUUCACAUUGAGGGAUAAAGGGACUUAUCAAAAUAGAUCCCACUAACUUCCCUAUUUAAAAACAUAACAUGAUUUAGGUGAUUAAAACUCAUUUGAACAAUCAGCAAAACUUGAGUGAAAACAAUUAACUAAUUAACCACUUGCACCCUGCUCACAGUGAAAAGUAAUUUCAAAUUAACAGCCAUAUGAAUCCAGAUUCAUUAACAUGGAUGAUUGGCUGAUAAGAAUCCAGGGCACAGAUGAAACCUUGCUAAACUUGGCAUUUGGUAAUUCAAACAAUUAAAUGAAAGAACAAAACUAUGUCCAAUCAUUACCAAACAACCACUUUUGCCAUAAUUUUCUUCUUUCAUUCAAAUGGUUGAAUGACCAAAUGGCUAGUUUGCCACGGUUUCAUCUGUGCCCUAGAUUCUUGUAAAACAUGAAGUUUAAAGAAACAUGAAGCUUUAAAGUAACAGAAGCAUAAAUGAAAAACCUUGGAAUAAACUGAACUUAAACGUAAAAUGGCAAUUGGGUUAACAAAUCUUUGGAAUUAAACUAAAUCACAAAAUGAAAAGGACCUCCAAUAAAUUGACAUUUUAUAUUUUUGGCUGGCAAAAAAAUAUGUAUCUUUGCUGGAAUAUGUAAAUAAAAAUGCAAAUUGACAAAAACAUUGAAAUUGAAAUGCACAAAAGCAAAGCAAAGCAAAUUAGAAAACCUUAAACCAAAUGACAGCCUAGAAAUGGAACUGUUUUUAAUCAUUUAGGUUCAAAUGAUUGGCUGGAGAAAGGGCCAUUCUUUGAAUUUACAUGAUAAAAAACAGAACAUAAUUUAGGGGUCCAAAUACUGAAACUGAGAAAAAAAAAAUUACAAAAAAAAAUUGAGAAAAACAAUUAAAUUGAAAUAACAAUGAUACUCCCAAAAAAAAUUGGCAACCUUAGCGUAUUAGAUACCCCCAAAAACAAAAAUAACAAAGACCAAUUAAAGAAGGAGUUCAAAAUUUUAGAAUAGGCAGAUCAAACGUCUAGAUGCAUUUGGCUGUUCCCAUCUAAAAUUUUCAAACUGAAAAAAAACACACUAAAACCAGUUACACAACUGUAGAGCACAAUUUUUAAGGGUGCCACUGCAAUUGAAAUAACUUCUAGAUACAAUGAGAGAAAAAUAAAUUACAGUAAUUUGACAUGAGAAAAGAAACCACAUGAUUUGAAAUAACCCAUUGGUAAGCUAAGUUAUAAAAUGGUAAAAGCGAUGAUAUAUACCUAACACCCUGCUUGCUGUGAGCUAUAACAUCCAAGUUCCACUAUGUAACCCUCUGCAUAGCUGUGUAACCUCUGGUAGCGAAACCCCUGAGAAGGUUAAGAGCUCUGAUCAGAGAAGGCAAACCAAAAUCAUCUAGUUAGACAACCGCGCACACACACAGAGACACACAUGCCUUUCACAGAAUGGGAAUCCAGGUAAAACAAAAAAACGCAAAAAAUCAUUAAUAGUUGCAUUUAGCUUAAGUGCUUGAUAAUGUUCUGAAUUAUCAGCUGGAUAAAGCUGUUAAAAUGUGUUUUGGAAUCGGUCCUCUCACAGCAUGUUUAUCUACGCUAUUCUUGUUUAACUUCCUUUUAUUUAGAAUUAUGUUUUAGUGUACUUUUGAUGGUAUGAAGAUUUUUUCAAGCACACCAACUUAAGACGUAACAAUCACGCAUUCUAGUGUUAUUGUGGUCGUAUAUAUUCAAAGGACGUUAUAAUUAGAUAGCUAGAUUUAAUCCCAAUGUGCAAAAAAAAACAUGUAAGAACAGCCAUGAAACCAGUGUUAAUUAAUAUACCUAAAAAGUCAAAGGGCCAGUCUGAGAUUUCAAACAUGGAGAUUUACUUCAUUUUAAAAACUGCUAAAUACAUUGGUAACUGUUAAAAGCAUGAACUACAAAUAUGUAAAGAAAAAAGGCUUGCAAAUAAGUUUAAACGAUCAACUCUCAACUUAGCAUUGUUACUGUUUUUAAGUUGGAUGUUGGCUUCCUAACAUGGUAUUAAAAGGGAUUUAUAAGUGUGUGCAUUGUUAAAUCACCCAACACCAUGUGUUAAUCAAGUAAUUUAUAGCUAAAGAGCAAGAUAUGCCACACAAAACCUGUAUUUAGAUGCCAAUCACUAAAAGCUAAUAAAAAUUCCUAAUCUAACUAUCACUAUACUAACAGUUUGGAGAAGGAUCAGAACUUCUUGUCCAAAUUUGUGUUCAUUUUAUUUGAAUUGUCCAUCAGAGCUUAAGUGAAAGAAUGAUUAAAUAAACACAAUGGCAUGCCAAAGAAAAUAUACCCGCCUUUUAAACUUCAGUAAUGCAUAGUCUUGUUGUGGUUUUUGUUUUUUCUAAAGACCAGACUAAUAGAAUGGUCAACACAAACAUCCUAUCUAAUCAGAUCAUCGCAAAGACUAAAAUAUAAGCUCACAAAUAUAAUCCUAACACAAUCAGAUCACUGCCAACAAAAAAUAUCCUUUAUUAAAAACAUAAGUGCAUUGAGAAGGUGUAAAAAAGAGUAAUGACCAUAAAACUAAUGAUUUCAUUCAUCAGUCACAGAGACAAAUUGGUUUGUGGGCUUCACAUUGAGGGAUAAAGGGACUUAUCAAAAUAGAUCCCACUAACUUCCCUAUUUAAGAACAUAACAUGAUUUAGGUGAUUAAAACUCAUUUGAACAAUCAUGCAAAGUUGAGUGAAAACAAUUAACUAAUUAACCACUUACACCCUGCUCACAGUGAAAAGCAAUUUCGAAUAAACAGCCAUAUGAAUCCAGAUUCAUUAACAUGGAUGAUUGGCUGAUAAGAAUCCAGGGCACAGAUGAAACCUUGCUAAACUUGGCAUUUGGUAAUUCAAACAAUUAAAUGAAAGAACAAAAUUAUGUCCAAUCAUUCCCAAACAACCACUUUUGCCAUAAUUUUCUUCUUUCAUUCAAUUGUUUCAAUGACCAAAUGGCUAGUUUGCCACGGUUUCAUAUGUGCCCUAGAUUCUUGUAAAACAUGAAGUUUAAAGAAACAUGAAGCUUUAAAGUAACAGAAGCAUAAAUGAAGUAAAAUGGCAAUUGGGUUAACAAAUCUUGGAAUUAAAGUAAAUCACAAAAUGAAAAGCACCUCCAAUAAAUUGACAUUUAUAUUUUUGGCUGGCAAAAAAAUAUGUAUCUUUGAUGGAAUAUGCAAAUAAAAAUGCAAAUUGACAAAAACAUUGAAAUUGAAAUGCACAGAGGCAAAGCAAAUUAGAAAACCUUAAACCAAAUGACAGCCUAGAAAUGGAAGCAAAUGUGAACUGUUUUUAAUCAUUUAGGUUCAAAUGAUUGGCUGGAGAAAGGGCCAUUCUUUGAAUUUACUUGAUAAAAAACAGAACAUAAUUUAGGUGUUCAAAUAGCCGAAAUUGAGAAAAACAAAUUACAAAAAAAAUUGAGAAAAACAAUUAAAUUGAAAUGCACAGAACAAAACAAAUUGAGAAAAACUCUUAAAUUUCUUUAUGCACAGAAGCAAAGCCAAGCAGAAAAGCUUAAAACCAAAUCACAGCCUGGAAAUGUCAGGGCUUCAAAGCAUAGACAGUCUUAAUCAAAUCUAAUCAAACAAAAUUAAAGCUAAUUAAAAGAUGACUACAUUCAAACAUUUCCCGAACGAAAGGGCAGGGGAAGGCAGAUUAUAGCACCGCGAACGAACAUACGAAGCGAGAGGCAACAAAGGUUAAUCUCACAUGUUAAAAAAUUCUAAAAUCGCACUGUCUGAAACGGAAAGCAUGGGGAUACAACGUAUCGAAGUUUAGGACAUACCAAAGCCUUGAUCAAAAGGUAAGUCUCAAAACAUCAAUUUUCACAUCGUCCCCUACAGUUGACCAAAGAUAAACACACAAAUUUCCAAACAAAGCAAAGAAAUCAAAAUUUUGUAAUCAAAACUAACUAACGAAUCAUAUCGAGACAUCUUUGCUUGGUGUGCGGCAAUGCUCUAACCCACUAUGGGUUUUAAAUUAUUCUAUCCAGUUACAGUGAUGGGGUUUCACGGCCAGUUGACAACAAACAGAAAAACCAAAUUUAAUAAAAAGGUUCAUCCAAGAAUAGAAAAUGUGAAAAAAAUAAGGGGAAAAAAGGAGAACCCCAAACUAUAUACCUGAAACAGAGCCACAGUGAAAAGAACAGCACAGAAGCAACCAAAAAUGUGCAACCAUCUUUCUAAUAAAACAAACUCCAAUUGUUUAACCAUCUUCAAUGAAAGGCCAACUUUAAUUUUUCAUUUCCCCAAUUAAACCGCUAAACUCACAGAACCUGGGUUUUAAACCAACCUAAGCACAUAUUGAAACCAUUAUGCAAAAACAGCAAGCAAUGCAAACCAUUAAGUGUAUAUGCAAUUUAUAUAUGCAAUACCUACUUGCACAUUAUUAUGAAUGUCCAUUGCGUGGUUUAGUUCAAAUCCUCUAGCCUCAUACACAAACCAUAAGAGCCAUUCGGAAACCAAACCCCCCCCCCUUUUGCAAUUUAGCUCACAAACCCAAUUGAAUCAAAACAAAUUCAAUCAGGAAACAGAAAGUUAAGAACAGCCUUAAUUAACUGAGUAUACCAAAGAAUCAAAUUAAACACAAAUUCUUAAAGUUUGGCAUCCCAAUAAUCAAAUAAGGAAAAACGUGUGUACUGUGUGUGUGAGUGCAUGUGUUGCAUAAGUGUGUAAGUGUAUAUUGUAUUGCUGAGGAAAAACAACAAAAUCUUCCAAGUGAUAAAAAAUGGCAUAAGCGUGUGAGUAUAUAUUGUAUGUGUUGUGUGUGUAUAAGUACAUGACAGUGUUUGUGUGACAUUGCAUGUGAGUGUACUGUGUAUGUAUAUAAAAUGUGUAAGUGUAGGUAAGUGUGUGUACUCUGUGUGGAUAAGUGUAUGUGAUGUGUGUGAGUGUAUAUUGUAUGCGUAUGCAGUCUGUGUGUGUAUAAAAAGUUACAGUAGGGUAAGGCAUAUACCAAAAUCCCGACAUCGUCCUCUCGCUCUCUCUCUCUCUCUCAAACAGUUCCACUCGGUUUCCAACUCAAUGAAAUGCAAAGGAAAGCUGAAUCUACAUGCAGUAGCUAAAGGUUCAUCCAUAUUCAUUUUUUACACCUUCAUUCACACAACAUGAGUUUCAAACCAACCUAAGCACAGAUUCAAACCAUUAUGCAAAAACAGCAACCAAUGCAAACCAUUAAGCACAUAUUCAAACCUGAGUUUCAAACCAAAUUAUAUAGUGCUACCUAACAAUAAACAUAAAAUUACAUAUUCAAAUUGAUUCGACAGUUUUUAAAGGUUGAAAAAAUGAACCAACAGACAUUUGUUUGAAUAUCAAACUCAUUGUGGCUACCAACGCAACAACUACACAUUGAUGCUGCAUCCAGUACAUGCACACAAAGGUAGGGAAAGUCAUAACUGGAUCAAACAUAAAAGACACAUUUAAAGAAGAAGCUCAAGAAAACAUUUUAUUGAUGAAGAUUCAAGAAGGAAUAUGGUCAAGAACGAAACUAUGAGGAAUAUCAAAUACCUCACAGGGAUACAAAACUACUUGAAUGUACUCCAACGAAUGUAAAUCCAGCAUUCUCUAAAAACUAUCUCCAUCCUACAUCAUCAUCUACCCUUAAGCACAACCACUAAAAUUGUAAAAGACCUGAAAACCAUGAUCUACACCACAAAUAAUACUACUAAUCCAUAAACCAAUCAGUCAUCAAGCAUAUUCUUUUAUCUUUUCCUAAUUUGAUUGUAUAUUGUAUUUAUUUGCAAUGCUCCAAAACAAUGAAAUGCACAUGAUUUCUCUUUUCCUCCUAAUCUGCAAAAACAAAUCAGUAGCCAAUCCCAGUUUAAAUUAACAGAAAGGGAAAGGAAAAAAAAAAAAAAGACAACUUGAAUUCAAAAGAUUCUACAUGAUGUACCACACCACCAUUUAGAUUCACCAUUUCUCACUUUCACCAUUUAACGUAUUUAGAAAGGUUAUAAGGGUGAUUUGCCAUCUAAGAGUCACUUGGGAGUUGGGAGCAAAGUUAUAAGUCGCAAGCUCUUGAAAUGCAGUAAUGAAUUUGGAUAAUAUUGGACCUAGAAGAAAAUAUCACAUGCACAGCAAGCUACAGCAACAAUUAAAAAAAAGAGAUCUUAAGCAAAAACCAUGAAUCCAACUCAAAAAUGAAAUCUUGCAAAUAACAUCUCAAACCAUAACCCAAAUCAAAUGCACCAAAUCUCACAUCAAAAAAUAAAUUAUACAAAUUGACAUAUUGGUAGAAACCCAACAGAGAUUUUAGCGAGAGAGAGAGGGCGAGGGGGAGAGGGCGAGAGAGAGUACCAAAGGGAGUGAGAUAUGGUUGUAACUGGAAAGCAAAAAUAAAUUAUAUAAAUUGACUCUAACAUUUCUUGACUCUUAACAAAUUGAUACAUAAUAACAGUUGUUUGGGAUAUAGAUAUGGGUGUACCUGGAAAGAUUAAAAUUCACCAUGCAUGCCGUAUUUCUUGACUUUAGUUCUCCCAUCGUGAUAUACCUGAUAAUCAGAAUGCAUUUUGGCAACAUUGUUAUAAAUAAGAUGUUGAUCAUGAUGAAUUAUAACCCUACUCCGUGUUAUGUACUUGGAAUUGAAGAGCAUUAUGUAAAAGAAAAAAAUAAAAUAAAAUAAAAUAAAAAAGCACAUAUCUAUCAUGAUCUCUGCAUACCUGCUGCUGUCUUUAUCGAAGUGUUGGAAGGUAGUGUAGAGAUGUUCUCUAUCCAUCCAGUUCAAGUGCAUUGUUGCUGCGAUGAACUCAUCAUAGUCUAUGGUUCAGUUGCCAUCAGCAUCAGCCUAAUGAAAAGACAUUCAUUAGAACUAAUGUACGUAAGCACCAAAGAAAUACAGAGAGAGAGAAGGAACCUGCUCGUAAUGGCAGAGAAGGGUUGAAUGGUGUUUCCUCAGCACAAACGAAGCACUUGUUGUGUUGGGGAGAACAUGAAAACACCUCCCACUUCCCUCCAUUUCUUCUCUGCAACUAUCUACACACACACACACACACAUAUAUAAUUAAGUACAUAUGAUUUUCUUUUAUCUUUCAUUUUAAAAAUUGAAAAAUUAAUAAUUCAUAUUUAAUUUAGUGAAAUGAAGAACUACAGAUAAAAUAGAUAGCCCAACCUUCUCAAAGCCACCCCUCCUUGUUGCCUCCACAUGUAAACGCUCCCCUCUUGAAUUCACAAAUAUAAACAGCAAUUUAUAUGGAAUCAAGGACCCAUACUUUAUAAUUACACUAAAAGUUUUAACACCUUUAAAUACUCUAUACAAAAAUAAAUAAUAAAUCUCAGAAAUACAUAUCAGUCCAAGGUCUUAAGUUCUCAGAGUGGGGAAUUAGUGAUUAGAACAGUUAAUUAUCUGCUCCUUUUUGGGUAUGAACUAAUUAGCACAGUAGCCAUAAAAAUACCAAACAAAAGCUCAAUAAUUUAUGCAAUUUGGUCAAAAUUUAUACAAUUUCCAGCAAAACCCAAGACUCAAUAAUACAAAAGGAACCCAAUAAAUGAUUGAAGCAAUAUUAUACACAAUUUACGCAAGUCCAAAGAAACCCAUUUGAUCAAACUUACUGAAUAUGGAAAAAAAAAAUUACAAUCGAAGUAUGGAUUAAUAAUUACCUCAAGAGCUAACGGAGCCAAAGCCAAACCAAAGCCAAACCCUAGAGAUUCGAAGGGCAGAGACAAUCACAGAGGCAGGAAAAGACGUUCUUCUUUCCCACUGCUGCUGCUGCCACCUUCUCUCUCUAAAAACCAAUUGGAAAUUGUUUAGAGAGAGACAGAGAGGGCGAUGAUGAUGAUUGGGAAAGAAGUAUGAAAAACUAAAAUACAUGCAAGCUUGAAUUCGAGUCCCAAAUUGAAAACAGAAAUGAGGAGUGUAAGGGUGGUUUACCGAGGUCGGGAGCGGUGAGUCUCGUAAGAGAAGCCGAUGAACAGUGGCAGGAGCCACUGCACAGUGAAAGGCCUUCGCUUGUGUGUCCUGAGCAGAACGGAGUGAGUGGUAGUGGUUCUGUGGUGAUGUUUUGCCGGAAAAUGGAAGCGUUGGUGCGCCAGUAUGUCCUUGAUUAUAUAUCAGAAUUCAUAAACAAAGUCAGAGGAAAAUUGAUGAUUAUUGAGCCAGUAUUGAAUAAUGGGUAUAAGAUUGAAACUUUUGGAUGCUCAGCCUUGUUUCCAGAUGAAAAUAAGCAUCCCAAAAAACGAAACAAAUCAACUUAACAUAAAAGUUUGUGUUACCCACCUCAAAUCGGCCGGAGAACUCACACUGGAAUUUCUAUAUACCUUCCAAUUUUUCCGUAACCUUUACCAUCUCAGAAUUUCUGAAUAGAACAUGGAUUCUACAACAUUAGAUAAAACUAUCUAUACUACACAUGUGCAGAUCAAUUCCAGAUAAAUUAAGAUAAAAUCAAGGUAUGAAAUAUAUCAAUUUAGGGUUGGAAAAUGACCUUCAAAUUUCAGUGGAGAGAAAGUGAGCGAGAGUUUAAGAGGUGUACCUGUAGUGAGUGAGUGAGUGAGUGGGCGAGCGAUGUUGCGACUGUGAGAGGCUGAGAAGAACACGAAGAUGGGAUCGAAGAAGAUCAAGGAUCUGCAGCAAUGGCGCUGAGAUCCCCACUCUUCCCUUUCCUUCUCUCUCUGUCGCUCUGCCUCUGUCUCCCUCUCUCCCUCUCCUAUCUCUAUCUCUAUCUCCAUCAGCAUGGCCUCCCAAUUGCGAAACCCUCAGCAAGCGAUCCUUACUCCUCCCACUCUCCCUUUCGCGCUGUCUCCCUCUCCCUCCCUGUCUCUCUUCUCUCUCUGCUCGCUCGCUCUCUCUCCCGACGGCAUGCUCUCACCGAGUCCCACUGCAGCUUAGAAAGAAAGGAAAUGAAAGUCUCUAACCCACCCAACCCGUUCGAAACCCUACAGACUAAAAUGACCAUCGCACCCCUGCCUUUCCGCGAUCAUCAACACCAGAGAGAGUCAGUGGCAGCCUCGUAAAUAAAGUGAAAUUCGGGUCCAAAUACUAUUCAUUUGUACAGUGCAAUUGAAAAGCCUUCUUUAGACUAAAGUAAUACAUGAUUCAGCCUAUAUUCGAUGCACAUAUAAAAGGUUAUUUUUUCAAAAGACCUAUUUGUUUAUUUGCCCUCCUAACUUGUAUAUAGCUACUUAUAUCUAUCAUGAAUUUUAAUUUAGCUGAUUAUCCCUAAACUUUUAUAAAUGGAUUUUGAAAUUUCUCAUAUGAUCUUCCAUCCAUCUUGAUCACGCGAACAUCACAUGACAAGUAUAGGACGGGGAAAAGAUAAUUUUGUUUUGGUAAAUUCGGCGCAAAGUCAGUACUUUGCAGCUGCGAGUUGGAUUCCUAUAGCUAAUUCAAACAAAAAGUAUACGGAGUCAACUAGGUGAAGAGAAGAAGAAAAAUACAAUCUACCAUCCACAUUAGGGUAAUAUUACUUUGUUGUGCACCAUGAACUUGGCCGAGAAGAGAAUGCAACCAUUCCUAGGUAAAAAAAACUAUACAUGUGAUAACAGAUCUCCCGAUCUAUCCAUCCAUCAAAUAAGUUCAUAACGUUUUACAACGAGUAUUCAAAGGUGAAAGGAAUCAUUAAAUAAUUAUUCAAGAGAAUUGUAACCACCGUUGAUGAUCAGGGUUUAGCCACUUAUAAUGUCAAAGUAGAAAGUUUUGGGCAAGUUAAACUUCCUACGCUCUUUUGGGCCUGACUUCAAUCCCCUGAACAAUAAGGCCUCUCUUCAUUCUAUGAAGGUCAACAUCCAUACAUGUCAUCUCCAUUAACCCCCCAUCUUCUUCUCCUGGACAGAAAAACUCUCCAAUCUCCACCUCCAGCCAGCCGUCGGGCCUUUUCUUUGGAUAUUGAGUUUCAUCGAUUUCCAUGGGUCUCCCGGUAAUGUUCUGUCUCCCCAGAAACACAAUGCGCUUACUACUAGUCUCUUCUUCCCCAAAAAGUCCUACCUUGACCUCCAAGGGAUCGUCACGAUCAAAUCCUCUAGCCCCUUCACUUAACAUGAACACAAGAUAAGCUUUGUAGACAGUGGAGGGGGAAAGAAUCCGUGUAUCAAUUUUGCCACGGAUCUCAAGCCACCAAACAACUACAAGCGCAGCCACCUCCUCAAACCUGUUUCAUUUAACAUGACAUAUACUAAUUAAUUGCCUAAUUACACACAUACACAAAUAUUUCAAUCUAUAUAUAUACAUCGCUAAAACAAAUCCAACCGCAGAAUAAGCACGAUAUGGAAACGCUUUCUCAACAUCUUAAAAGCGUAGCUGUUAGCUUAAUCAAACCAACAAAACGUAAGAUGAAUGAAGAAGUUUACAGACCUGGAGUUGGCAAGAGAAAUCCAUUUCCAGUACUCAGGAGUAUCACCCCAAAUAAUCAUAAGGUCCUUCGGCGAUAUCAUGUAACAUUUUUUCCCACUCCAUUUGUCCAGAGUAAAACUCUGCAUAUAUAGAUCAUAGAAACAGAUUGGAAAAGGUUACAAAAACUUAUUCCGGCUAGUUUUUCAUGCAUUAGUUCCAGAAGGCACGAUCUCAAAGUCUAAAGUCAUAUUUUCAUAUUAAUAUACGAAGGUGUAUUCAAUUGAGAAUUUGAGACUUUAAUGGAUUUAUAAAUCCAUAGAUUUUUAUGGAAUUUAAUUGAUUUAUAGAGAUUCCAUAAAAAAUAUUUGAUUCAAUUUCCUCGAAAUCUCAUGGGAAGAGGUUAGAUUUGUGGAUGCUUAAAAUACACUACAAAAUCUCUUCAAUUCCCUCUAAUUCCUCAACCUUAUCAAAUUCUUUAACACUACUACAAAAGGGGGCUAUAGUGUCGGAGGGUGGUGUCGCUUUAAUCUAAUAUAGUGGCGGAUUAGGCAGUUGCGACACUAACUGAACAUGACGUCGGAUUUACUGUCGCUUAUAAGCGUUAUUAAAUGUUUAUGUCGCUUUUAAACCGACGUAAACAUAUAUUUUAAUAAUUUUUAAAUACUAGUGUCGCUUUUAAACCGCCGACGUAAACAUUAUUUUAAUAAUUUUUAAAUACUAGUGUCGCUUUUAAGCGACAUAAAGUGUGUGUAUAUAUAUAUUAAAUAUAUAUAUAUAUUUAAAUUAAAUUUUAUAUUCCCUAAAAAACUAUAAUAAUUAUAUAAUAUAUAUAUUAAAUUAAAUUUUAAAAAAUUGGUGGAUCAUUGGAUUGGCUUAAAUAUACAUACGAUUCAAUUUCUUAAGUGUUAUACAUACAAAAUAAAUAAAUUUAAAUCUACUUAAUAUAUAUAUAUAUAUAUAUACACACACACCAUUGAACUUGAUUGGAUACGAAUUCUAUGAAACUAAUUUCGACAGUUAUAAACGAAAAAUCACGAUUUAACGGUUAUUUUAACUCCGAUUUUGAUGAUUUUUUACAGCUACACUCCUUGACCCUAUAUGAAUACAAUGAAUGGAUUCGAUCUUCAAAUUAAAAUAUUUACACAAGUGGAUACCACAAAAUCUUAUGUUAUACUUAAUGAAAGUAUAAAUAAACUCUAAGUGUUAGUCAAUCUAUUGUUUUGAUGGGAUACAAAUUCUCCGAAACUAAUUUCAACGAUCCCAACCGUCAAACUUGUUUGCAUAUGCUUCGAGAUCACAUCAGCAAAAAAUCACAAAAAACAAACAUUCAGAUAUCAAGUAACGGGACAAAGCUUUUCGACGGUUAUAAACGAAAAAUCACGAUUUAACGGUUAUUUUAACUCCGAUUUUGAUGAUUUUUUACAGCUACAUUCCUUGACCCUAUAUGAAUACAAUGAAUGAAUUCGAUCUUCAAUUUAAAAUAUUUACACAAGUGGAUACCACAAAAUCUUAUGUUAUACUUAAUGAAAGUAUAAAUAAACUCUAAGUGUUAGUCAAUCUAUUGUUUUGAUGGGAUACGAAUUUCUCCGAAACUAAUUUCAAACGAUCCCAACCGUCAAACUUGUUUGCAUAUGCUUCGAGAUCACAAUCAGCAAAAAAAUCACAAAAAACAAACAUUCAGAGAAUCAAGUAACGGGACAAAGCUUUUCGACGGUUAUAAACGAAAAAUCACGAUUUAACGGUUAUUUUAACUCCGAUUUUGAUGAUUUUUUACAGCUACAUUCCUUGACCCUAUAUGAAUACAAUGAAUGAAUUCGAUCUUCAAUUUAAAAUAUUUACAUAAGUGGAUACCACAAAAUCUUAUGUUAUACUUAAUGAAAGUAUAAAUAAACUCUAAGUGUUAGUCAAUCAAUUGUUUUGAUGGGAUACGAGUUCUCCGAAACUAAUUUCAACGAUCCCAACCGUCAAACUUGUUUGCAUAUGCUUCGAGAUCACAUCAGCAAAAAAUCACAAAAAACAAACAUUCAGAGAUCAAGUAACGGGACAAAGCUUUUCGACGGUUAUAAACGAAAAAUCACGAUUUAACGGUUAUUUUAACUCCGAUUUUGAUGAUUUUUUACAGCUACACUCAUUGACCCUAUAUGAAUAUAAUGAAUGAAUUCGAUCUUCAAAUUAAAAUAUUCACACAAGUGGAUACCACAAAAUCUUAUGUUAUACUUAAUGAAAGUAUAUAUAUAUUUAUUAAGUAGAUUUAAAUUUAUUUAUUUUGUAUGUAUAACACUUAAAGAAAUUGAAUGGUAUGUAUAUUUAAACUGAUCCAAUGGUCACCAAUUUUUAAAAUUUAAUUUAAUAUAUAUAUAUAUAUAUAAUUAUUAUAGUUUUUAGGGGUAUAAAAUUGUUACAUUAAUAUAUAUAAUUAUUAUAGUAUUUGUUAGGGUUAUAAAAUUAAUAUAUAUAAAAUUAUAGUAUUUGAAAUAUUAGGCGGGAAAUUUCCCGCUUGUUUGAAUGGAUGGAGAGACUUAGUGUCGGUUUUAACCGACGCUAGUGUCAUUAAAGCGACGCUAUGUGAAUUUCAAAAAGUGUGUCAGAAGUUUGGCGUCGGUUAAAAGCGACGCUAGUUUCAUUAAAGCGACGCAAGUUUCAUUAAAGCGACGCUAUGUGAAUUUCAAAAAGUGUCAGAAGUUUGUGUCGGUUUAAAGCGACGCUAGUUUCAUUAAAGCGACGCGAGUUUCAUUAAAGCGACGCUAUGUGAAUUUCAAAAAAUGUGUCAGACGUUUGCGUCGGUUUUAACGGACGCAAACUAAGUACCCAUAUUUAAACCCCUCUCUUUCCCAUUUCAACCGUGCUUUCAUUUCUCCCCCAAUUUCAGACUUUCUUCUUCUCCUUCCCCAUUUCAUCUGUGCGUCCCCUUCUUCCUCCUUUUCAGUUUUUCCUCAACUCCUUCCCCGUUUGCUUUGGAUCACCAGUUUGAAGAUCAACAUUCUGAAGAACUCCAAUUCGAGGAGGAAGAUCUUGAAGGUGGUUCAUUUUUAAAUUAUUAUGAUUAUUAAUUUUAGUUUCUAUUUUGUAUUCUAAAUAGUUUUAUGCUUAAAUUGAAAAUUUAUUUUUGUUUCUUGGUUUUUAAUUGUUUUUUUUGUAUUUAUGCAUGUUGGAUUUGAAGAGCAAGGACACUGGAAAUCGCAGAUCCAUAAUUUUUUAAAGGUAUAAAACCUGAGUUUAAUCUAUAGAGAUUAGAGCCCUAAUGUUGAAGUAGUAAAGUAUUGGAGCAUUGAUAUGAUGGCAAGCAUGGCAGCAUGGAGUUGCUAGUAUUAUAUAUGGCACUAUGGAGCUACAAAAUCUGUGGUCUUCGACAAAGGCAAGCACAGGAAAGCAUGGAGGAUGAAUUUUUGUAAAUUAUAUGGAAUGUUAGAUGUAGAACAUUUGUAUAUUAUGGCACUAUUUUUCUUUUGAAUUAUUUUUAUUAUUGUUUGUUUUGGCCUAAAAUUGAAAUUUAUUAUUUCGAUUAUAUAAUUUUUUUGAGUUAUAAUUAUUUGAGAACGAAUACAGAAACAGAUUUCGACUUUUUUUUAAUUAUUAUUAUCAAAGGUGGUGUCGCUUUAAACCGUCACUAGUUUGCAUAUUUUAUUUAUUUAAUUGUUCUCUAACGUCGCUUUAAACCGUCACUAGUUUGCAUAUUUUAUUUAGUUAAUUGUUAACUAGCGUCGCUUUAAACCGACAUUAACAUCAGCGUCGCUUUAAACCGACGCUGCGUAGUGGCGGAUUAAGCGAACAAAGCGACGCUGAAGCCCUUUGGUGACGGUAGCAAUGGCGUCGCUAUUCCAAUCCGACAUUGCAGUGUUUAAUGUCGGAUUUUUGCCAAAUUUCCGACAGAAAUCGGGGUUUCUUGUCGGUUUUUGGUCCGCCGGUGAUAGCCUAUAUUGUAGUAGUGUAAAAUCAAUUUCUAAUUGAAUACACUGAAAUGUUAUAAACUUUUUUAAAAUCCUAAUUGAAUACACCCAGAUUUCUAAGGAUUUUAAUAAACUAUCUUAAAAUUCUAAUUGAAUACGCCUUAAAUUUCAGAUAAUUACUUAAAAUCCUGAUUUAAUACAACCCCUAAAACUUUAUCAGAAAGUAGAGAGAAACAAAUAAAAUCUUCAAAUAUAUUCAUGUUUCAAAUUUUGGGAGCUAUCCCUAAUCCCACCACAAAAGUGAAAAAGAAUGUAUAAAAUUACCAUUUUGCCGUCGUCAACGAGGACAGGGUUUUCGCAGAGAGUGAGGUAAAGCUUCUUCUCGGAGGAGGAGGAGUGAGAUAGGAUGGAGGGGAUAUCAGGGGGAAGGAACUUGUCCCAAACAGCGUCGGAAUCAGCCGACGACAGCAGAUCCAUGUGAACGUGAUGAUGAUCGUCAUCGAGUUCCAUCGACACCGGCGUCCCGCAGCCCCCGCAGGUGAUUCCUUCUUCUCCUCCUCCUGAUGCACCGGCGUCGACUGUCUUCUUUGGCAUCUCUGGGUGAUCUCCGCGGCGGAGUCUCUUCAUGUUUUCCGUCUUUUGCAUCUCUGGGUGAUCUCCGCCGCGGUGGAGUCUCUUCAUGUUUUCCGGCUGUCUGUGUCGUUGACUCUCGUGUCGUGCGUGUACUUUGUUGUCCGUGUUCUGUUGUGUGUUAGAAACUUAUAAUAUUUGUAGGAAAACAGGCCUUGGGCGUUAGCGCACGGUGUUUUACUUUUCUAAUGUGGACAAACGCUACACCGUCUAGAAAACUAUAUCAGAAAUUUUUACCGUGAUAUGUUGCGGGAUUGAAAAUUAUAUGAAAUAUUUGAUAGCUUCAAUUUUCAUAAACAAUGUUUGUGUGAAAAACAAAAAAUUACGAAUGGCAAUGCAAUUUAUACGUAACCUUAUUAGGAACAAACUUAGAUACCAAAAGAAAAAUUAAAAAUCUAUUUUAUCAAAGUGUAAAGAGAUAAUUGUUUAUUCAAAAAAGUUGGACCAAUGAUAACGGCAUAAAUUACAAAUGCAGUAUUGAGAGUAUACCAGUCAAACUAAGCUUGCUACAUGCUAAACAAUGUUGAAAAACAUCAUUAGCUUUUUCAAGUGCUAUAUGCAAUGAAUGUAAUUGGAUACCAGACUUGUUCCUAGUUUGAGGUGUUUCCAAAGAAAACUGUUGUCUCUUGGAAAGUUGUGAAUACAACUGCAAAAGAUAAAAAAGACAGUUAGCCAAUGAUUAAAAAAAAAUAUGCAUAAAAAGUUCAAAUUUGAGUUUUGGGAGAGAGGGUGGAGAGAGAGGUGAAGUCACCUUAUAACCGGAGAUCAAAUGUACUUUUUCCAAUUAUUGAGAUGGUAAUUCAACUUGUGAAAUUCUGAAAGCAAACAUUUAAAUCAAGCUUAAUCAAAAUUUAGUACAAAAUGUUAAUUAGAAAUGUGUUAAAAUAGAAGUAAAAAUUAUUGAAACUUGCCUAACGUGAUGGGUACAAUUUUACCAUCUGUUUUUGGAAAAUAUACCGAUGUGACAUACCAUAUGUUGAUCUUGCCUUCUUGGAAGUAAUAUUAGUCGUUGAUUACCAGGUAGCAUAAGUUUGUACAAUAUUUUAUAAAUUAUGAGACAAAUUAUUAUGUCAAAGUUGUGUGCUAAAAAAUCAUUUAUACUUCUAUAUUGACGCAAGUUAUGAUUUUAAUUUGUAUAUACCUUGGUGGAGUCAUUUUGUGUAUGUGUUUCUUAUAUUCAUCAUCCAUGCUAUGUGAAAAGUUAAUUCUAAGUUCUGCAGAAAGUCGCAAAGAAAUGAAGUAUAAAAUUUGAGCGAAGAUUCAAUUAUGCAAAUUUACACUUUUAAACACAUAAUAUUCAAAAUAAAUAAAAUUUGAAUAAAAAGGCACUACCAUUCCAACGCCCAUUGUUUGGGUGAAAUGAAACUCUCAGAAAUUCGUGGCAAAUCCUCGAUGAAAUACUCCAAAAAGAUGAAAAACAUAUAAUUAUAAACAGAAAAAAAGGUACUACGUCAACAAAUCGAUUGAGGUGGAUGAUCACAUCAUUUUCUCUUCCCUUUAUCCUACUCUUUACCCACGUUCAUGUCUGUACAAUGCUCAAGCACAACGCAAAUUAAUUCAAAGGAAAUAUGCACAACCCAAGAGAAAUUAAUUAAUUCAAAUAAUUAUUCACUUCCACUCAACCCAAAUUAAUUCAAACGAAAUCUGCACAACCCAAAGAAAGAGAUCAAACGAAAUAUGCACAACCAAAAUGAAGAGAUCAAACUCUAAUUCUAUCAAAAAGCCAUUAUUCCUAAUGCCACCUUUCUUUUUGGCACCCUAUCCAUUUUCUCAGCAAUCGAUACAGAAACAAAUAAGUCCAUAAAAAAGAAAUAAACCCAAGAAGUAUAUGCACACAACACAAAUCAACCCAAUCAACAAACUUUAUUUAAAUAGACCAAAAUGAGUAAUAAGUCAUUGAACCCUCACUUCACCAUUCUAAGCUUUUCUAUAUCUCUCUACGUAUAUACAAGGGUAGACAUUCAAUCCUCACUUCUUUCUUUUUUGAGAGUUCUACAUACUAAUUGGAGGAAACCAAGGAAUUCGAAGCUUUUCCAUACCUCGGCUUAUAUUUUGGGGGAAUUUAAUGUGUUCUUGAAAAUUGGGAAAAGUGAAUGUGGAGGAAUAGGGGAAGAGUCCAUUGUCUCUCAAGCUAUUCCCUUUGAAUUGCUGUAAAAAAAACUCUCACAUCCACCAUUCCCCCUAUUCCAGUUCAAAAAAUUUAAAUUAAAAAUUUUAAGAAGAAACUCAACAGAAAAUCACUAAAUAGUUCAUAUAAAUUUGGAAUCUUUGUUAUUUUCCUGAAUAAAAAAAGGUGGAAACUUUACCUGAGGAACUGAAAGUCAAGCUGUGAUGAGAGCAAGGUAGAUGGUGCUGCAAAUGUUAUGGAGGGACAAAAUCAGAACUGAUAGGAUGGAAUAAAUCAGUCGGAAAACUCAAGACAUGAUCAACCUGUUCGUUGCCGACCUGCAUCCACACAAAAACCAUUCAAAAAAAUCGCCAAUUAGAUUCGAUAGCAUACCACAAUGUCAUGAAGCAAAAUUAACUAUAAUCACGAAAUUAGCAACCUGAAAUCUGCCGGACAACUCACCAGGAAACCCAACGUUUUCUGGGUUUAAGUUUUCUUCCAAUCUGAAACGGAUUCAUCUAAAACACAACCUCCAGGGCAAAGAAUAUAAUCGAAGGAAAACUAAUGAAAAAGGCUUGAAAACUUUGAGUUUUAAUGAUAAGGACAAAAUAAAGGGUAAAGUGAAUAGUACCAGGAUUGACUUUUUAGUGUAAAAUGUGGUUUUUCGUUAAAGUGAACAGUACCGGAUGCUUUUCGUUAAAAUUCCCUAUAAUCGACCUACAACAGUUUGCUUAACAUUGAAUAGGGAUAGGAAGGUUGUAAACAAUAUAUAUGGGUUUUAAACACUAUAUACAUAUAUAAUAGAGAUACAACAUGAACAUUCACGAUAUUUCCUUGUAAAAUCUAGUAAGCAGAAGGAACUCAGGAUACUUCAACAAUGGAUAAGGAUACUUCCUCAUUUUAUCGGAUUACUUUGAAACUUGUUAGAAUAUAUUCAUUAUCUCGUUAUUUUCAUGAUGAAGAUAGUAUUUUCACUAAAUCUAGUGUAUUUUUAUCCUAUAUUGUCCAAAGUUUGAAUUAAUCCCCGAAUAAUACUUGACAAUAAAUAACAUGGGAACACUGAGAAAUAAGAAAUAAGAAUUCGACAAUCAUACAUGAUUAAAUCACAAAAUGAGUCAAAUAUUCUCAAAAUCAUUCUAAACGUGACAUUGAAAUCAAACUGACCAAAGUUUAUAUAGAACUGAGCAUAUCAUCUCUUCUUGUUCUUGAUCACUGUUGUUCCCAAUGCGGUCCAUUCCGGCUUCCCAGAAUUAUCGUCCGAAAAGGGUUUCACCAGAAAUUGGUGAACAGAACUUUUGUCCCUUCCACUAAUUUAGUACGCAGAGAAAAGAUUGGAAGGGAAACAAAAUCCAACAAAUAAAAAAGGGGUCAGUGAAACGAUACAAAUAUUCAUAAAAAUUAAAUUUUCUGCAAGGGGCAUCCCAGAAUUUAAAUUCACACUAAACCCAUUUUCUAGUUCUCUUAAUUGAAGCGAACCCAGAAAUAAAAUAACGAAAAAAAUGAAAAAAUAUUUCUCGGGAUCCAAACACCUCAAAAGCCCCGAACAUAAAAAUUAAAAAAAACAGAAUACCUUUGCGGGUUUGGAACUCUUCGCUCAUAAGUGUUAACAGUAGGGUGCUGCGUCUUUUUCAGACGGUCACUUCGUCGUCGUUUCCAUCAGUAACAAUUGGAGGUGAAGCUGCUGGUUUUGGGUGAAGAAGAAGAGGAAGAUGAGGGUUUGAAGAAGGCACUGACCUUCGAUUGCAUUGCAUGAAUGUGUCGGAUUGGAUUUGAAUUGAUUUGAGUUCAUUGCCCUUCCAUCGUUCUUUGGUUCAGAGAAAACAGAAUGAAGGAAAAAAGUGGAGAAACAUUGUCGAUAAGUGAGAACGAACAUAGAUAACCCAGAGAAGAAAAAACUAGGGAGAGAACUCGAGCUAGGUUCGUGUUCUCAGCGAGAUGGACAAGGAUUAUCUGCCCUCCCAUUUCCCGUGCCCUCCAGUUUUGUGUGAUCACGGUUAAGCCACGUCAACAUUUUAUAUUAGAUCACGCAAAAUAGGAGGGCACGAGAAGUGGGAGUGCAGACAAUCCUUGUCCCAGCGAGAGAGCCAGUGGACUUCUGCCAUCCCCACGAUUACCAACAUGUGUACAUCAAGGUAGCGGCAGAGAGUCGGUGAAAGCGCUUCAGAGACAGAAAUGAAAUAAAACAAAUCAACCGAGGGCAAAUAUGCCCGGACACUGGUGAUGAACAGUGCUGAGGAACUCAGUUUUUAUGAUUUCCAAAAUAAGAGAGAAAAUUACCAACUGCUUAAAUUUCUAGGGAAAAAUUAACAGAUAACUCUAUUCAAAAUAAGAGAAGAGGUUAUUGGGUUUCCUUUUUCGCUUUCAUUUCAAAUUUUUUUACUUUAGUAAGUCAUCAGCACUAUCUAGUAUCUAGUGUAUAUUCUCAAGUUAGAAAUCUCAAAUUCAACUUAUCUUGUUAACAAAUUUAAUGAAAUAACACUGACAGUGGCAGACCGACGUUAGUAAAAAGUACUUGAACUCGGUUUGAUUUGUGACGCGAUGCCAGAUGACCUCGGUUCAAUUUGUUGUGCACCAUGAACUUGGCCGAGAAGAGAAUGCAGACAUUCUUAGGUCAAAAAACUAUACGUGUGAUAACACAUCUCCUAAUCUCCUCAUCCAUCAAAUAAGUUUAUAACGUUUUACAACUAGUAUUCAAAGGUGAAAGGAAUCAUUAAAUAAUUAUUCAAGAUGACUGUAACCACUGUUAAUGAUCAAGGUUCAGCCACUUAUAAUGCCAAGAUUAAAGAACCAAAAGGGUGCGGUUGUCGCGGUGUGACCAUAGAAAUUGGUGUCCGGUAAGAGAUAGAGAAGCAAGACUACACUUUGGCAAUCAAGUACAAGAGCUCCGAGGAAGAAGCCAUCUCAUUUGGUGCAAUUGUUUGGGAAGAAGAGAGUGAAAAUUUUACUAUGAGGAGCCCUAUUGUGAUCUCGAGUAGCCCUACUGUGAUCGUUGCGUAAGAACACAUUAGCUAGCAUUUCGGGUAGUUUGGUAUGACUUCCUGAUAUGUACGACAAUGCACCCAUUACGUGUAAGUCCUUAAAAAAGGCUUAACUUUCUACACUCUUUUGGGCCUGACUUCAAUCCCCUGAACAAUAAGGCCUCUCUUCAUUCUAUGAAGGUCAACAUCCAUACAUGUCAUCUCCAUUAACCCCCCAUCUUCUUCUCCUGAACAGAAAAACUCUCCAAUCUCCACCUCCAGCCAGCCGUCGGGCCUUUUCUUUGGAUAUUGAGUUUCAUCGAUUUCCAUGGGUCUCCCGGUAAUGUUCUGUCUCCCCAGAAACACAAUGCGCUUACUACUAGUCUCUUCUUCCCCAAAAAGUCCUACCUUGACCUCCAAGGGAUCGUCACGACCAAAUCCUCUAGCCUUUCAUUUAACAUGAACACAAGAUAAGCUUUGUAGACAGUGGAGGGGGAAAGAAUCCGUGUAUCAUUUUUGCCACGAAUGUCAAGCCACCAAACAACUAUAAGCUCAGGCACCUCCUCAAACCUGCACGCGUCUCGAGGCGUCGUUAAGGAGACGACGUUAGCUAUGCAUCCUUCGGGCAACUCCUGCAGAUCCAUGUGAACGUGAUGAUGAUCGUCAUCGAGUACCAUCGACACCGGCGUCCCGCAGCCCCCGCAGGUGAUUCCUUCUCCUCCU